CCUGGUCUGGAGCGGAUGCACAGGGCGCCUGGUUCCGGUCCAGCUUCCGCCACUGCGGCCCCUGGAGGGCUGGGCCAAAGAAACCAGGCGGCGAGGAGGCAGCGGCGCGAGGACACGUGGGGGCUACCGGGCAGGAGCGCCCCCCUAUGCGCAAGCCCUUGGCCUGGAGCGCGCUGAAGACUCAAUACUCCAGUCAAGCAGGGACGAACGAUCCCCAGAGGAACAGAGGAACAGAUCCCAGUCAUGCAGCUGUAUGGACCAAUACACAAACCACAGGCAAUCGGGAGAAGGUGACGUGACAUCUCUUUAUUGGUUCAGUCUAUGCCUGGCCCAGCGGCAGCCCCAGGUCCAGGGGGGCUCUGGUUGGAGGUCUCUGGACAGUCAGGGGCAGCAUCAGCAGAAACCCCGGGUGUCGGGGGGCUGUGGGAGUAGCAGCACUGGUCCCCACGUUGACAGGUGCCCUGGUGGGAAGAUGGUGGGUGUGAACCCCUGCCCGGAGCUCAGCAGCCCCUGAUGGGAUCCUUUCCUGGGAUGGGAAGCCCACUCCCAAACACUUGCCUGGCCCCAGCUCCCCCAGCUCUCUCCCUGUUGCCCAAAGGGGAGACUCACGUGUCCUGCAGUGGGGGAAAGGGAGGAGGGACCUUACCUCCUUAAACCUCUUGCAAGGAAACGUCUUGAGCCGGGCAGCCCGCUGGGCCGCAUCUUCCGGCGGCUCCUUCCGCUUGUUCUGAAGCAGCCUGCGUCUCUCCUCCAUAGCUGCGUCGGCCGCCUUGCCCCUGUGCGAGGGGAGGAGUAGGUGGGACCCCAUCUGCCCCUUACCCCUUCUUUCCCUGGCUGAGCCCCACCCCCACCCUACCACCACUCACCCCGGCCGGGCACGAGGCCGUGGACCCCAGUUGGCCUCUGGGUUAGCCUGGAAGCGCUUGAGUCCUCGCUGGCGGGAGCUGGGGUUGGCAUCUUCCCGGAUGGUGAAGUUGGCCUGCAGCCUAGGGAAGCAGGGGUGGGGCGUCAGGGCUGGGGGAAGAUGCCACACGAGUGUGUCCCCACUCCCCACAGGGCCUGUCCGCCUCCACCACACAGCAUGAGGUGUCUGUUCAUGUCAGGAUUCUCUCAUUCAUCUAAUAAACAUUUUUUUGUUUUUUUUUUGUUUUUGUUCUUUCU